rnacentral:rRNA from 1 species
GAUGAACGCUGGCGGCGUGCUUAACACAUGCAAGUCGAACGAUGAAGCCCAGCUUGCUGGGUGGAUUAGUGGCGAACGGGUGAGUAACACGUGAGUAACCUGCCCUUAACUCUGGGAUAAGCCUGGUAAACUGGGUCUAAUACCGGAUAGGAGCGUCCACCGCAUGGUGGGUGUUGGAAAGAUUUAUCGGUUUUGGAUGGACUCGCGGCCUAUCAGCUUGUUGGUGAGGUAAUGGCUCACCAAGGCGACGACGGGUAGCCGGCCUGAGAGGGUGACCGGCCACACUGGGACUGAGACACGGACCAGACUCCUACGGGAGGCAGCAGUGGGGAAUAUUGCACAAUGGGCGCAAGCCUGAUGCAGAGACGCCGCGUGAGGGAUGACGGCCUUCGGGUUGUAAACCUCUUUCAGUAGGGAAGAAGCGAAAGUGACGGUACCUGCAGAAGAAGCACCGGCUAACUACGUG